rnacentral:misc_RNA from 1 species
AAGUCGUAACAAGGUUUCCGUAGGUGAACCUGCGGAAGGAUCAUUAAAAGAGAUAGGGGUCUUCAUGGGCCCGACCUCCAACCCUCUGUUGUUUAACUACUUGUUGCUUGGCGGGACCGUCUCGGUCUCCGAGCGCCAACCCUCGGGUUGGUGAGCGCCCGCCAGAGUCCAACCAAACUCUUGUUUAAACCAGUCGUCUGAGUAUAAAAUUUUAAUUAAAUUAAAAA